rnacentral:piRNA from 1 species
UGCCAUGAUUCCAAGCAACCCUCUGUGCCUC